AAGAAAGUGACAGAAGGGUUAUGUGGCUGGCUUGAAACCAGUCCAUGGGGGUUCAAGUCCUCCCUUUCUCG
rnacentral:tRNA from 2 species